rnacentral:rRNA from 1 species
UGAAUACGAGACGCUAAGGCGUCGAAGUAGUGUAUGUCAUACUUCCAAGAAAAGCUUGCACUGUCAUAAGUAAAAAAUGCCUGUACCAUAACCGACACAGGUGGGUAGGUAGAGUAUACUAAGGGGCGCGAGAUAACUCUCUCUAAGGAACUCGGCAAAAUAACUCCGUAACUUCGGGAGAAGGAGUACCUUAUUCUAUAAGGUUGCAAUAACAAGAUCCAAGCAACUGUUUAUCAAAAACACAGGUCUCCGCUAAGUCGUAAGACGAUGUAUGGGGGCUGACGCCUGCCCAGUGCCAGAAGGUUAAAGAAGUCGGUUAGCAUUAGCGAAGCUGGUAACUGAAGCCCUGGUGAACGGCGGCCGUAACUAUAACGGUCCUAAGGUAGCGAAAUUCCUUGUCGGGUAAGUUCCGACCCGCACGAAAGGCGUAAUGAUUUGGAUACUGUCUCGGAGAGGGGCUCGGUGAAAUAGACUUGUCUGUGAAGAUGCGGACUACCUGCACCAGGACAGAAAGACCCUAUGAAGCUUUACUGUAACUUGAAAUUGAAAUUGGACUUUAUUCGCGCAGUAUAGGUGGGAGGUGUUGAUUAUAAUCUUGCGGGAUUAUUGGAGCCAUCAGUGAGAUACCACUCUUGUAAUGUUAGAUUUCUAACUUUGAAUCAUUAUCUGGUCAAAGGACAGUUUCAGGCGGGCAGUUUGACUGGGGCGGUCGCCUCCCAAACGGUAACGGAGGCGUACAAAGGUUUCCUCUGAACGGGUAGAAAUCGUAUCUAGAGUGUAAAGGCAUAAGGAAGCUUGACUGUGAGACCUACAAGUCGAACAGGGACGAAAGUCGGUCUUAGUGAUCUGACGGUACUGAGUGGAAAGGCCGUCACUCAACGGAUAAAAGUUACUCUAAGGAUAACAGGCUGAUCUCCCCCAAGAGUUCACAUCGACGGGGAGGUUUGGCACCUCGAUGUCGGCUCAUCGCAUCCUGGGGCGGUAGUACGUCCCAAGGGUUGGGCUGUUCGCCCAUGAAAGCGGUACGCGAGCUGGGUUCAGAACGUCGUGAGACAGUUCGGUCCAUAUCCGGUGUAGGCGUUAGAAUAUUGAGAGGAGCCUUCUUUAGUACGAGAGGACCGAGAAGGACAUACCUCUGGUGUACCAGUUAUCGUGCCAACGGUAAACGCUGGGUAGCUAUGUAUGGAGUGGAUAACCGCUGAAAGCAUCUAAGUGGGAAGCCCACCUCAAGAUAAGUAUUCUCACC